rnacentral:rRNA from 1 species
UACGUAGGGGGCAAGCGUUGUCCGGAUUCAUUGGGCGUAAAGAGCUCGUAGGCGGUUGGGCAAGUCACGUGUGAAAUCUCCACGCUCAACGUGGAGGCGCCACGUGAGACUGCCCCUGACUCGAGUCCGGUAGGGGAGCGUGGAAUUCCCGGUGUAGCGGUGAAAUGCGCAGAGAUCGGGAGGAACACCCCGUAGCGAAAGCGGCGCUCUGGGCCGGUACUGACGCUGGAGGGAGCGAAAGCGUGGGGGAGCAAACAGG